UUCCUACCGACAGGUGGGACAGUCAAUUUACCAUUUAUUCUGGACAAUAAAUUUCUCAAAACAAUUUAUGUUUACAGUAAAGCAAUAUAGGGUCUUCUCGUCUAACUAUUUCUAUGUCGCAUCUUCACGUCCGAUACCACCUGGUGAAUGUAUGUUCGGAUUUGAAAUUCUUCUUCGUCGCCAUCGCCAUUUGUGUGAAUGUCCUUUGGCCCUGAAAAGUGUACCGGCGCAUAUUCUUAUCCAGGUGCUCAAGUGUACAUAUCACUGUGUCAGUCAUGUUCAAUCCAUACUUUUUCAGAUGGCGCGCACGAACAAUUCACACGCUUAGUAUGUAUCGCCAUAUGAUAGUUUUUUAAACCCCUACAACAGUCCGGAGAAAAACCUACAUUAUGUAUCCGUGAAUGAUAAUUUCAAAUAUUAAGACCGAUGAAUCCUUUGCAGACGACUUAAAUGAACGGGGUAUUGUAAAAUGUCGAGAUAACUUUGUUUUAUCGAGCAUUUGAGAUUCAUCCUCUGUUCUAUGGAUUUGU
rnacentral:ncRNA from 1 species